UACGUAGGGGGCAAGCGUUGUCCGGAAUCAUUGGGCGUAAAGCGCGUGUAGGCGGCUGAGUAAGUCUGCUCUGAAAGCCCGGGGCUCAACCCCGGGAGGCGGGUGGAUACUGCUCAGCUCGAGUCCGGAAGAGGAGUGUGGAAUUCCUGGUGUAGCGGUGAAAUGCGCAGAUAUCAGGAGGAACACCAAUGGCGAAGGCAGCACUCUGGGACGGUACUGACGCUGAGACGCGAAAGCGUGGGAGCAAACAGG
rnacentral:rRNA from 1 species